rnacentral:lncRNA from 1 species
UUCCCUGUUAUGCCUGGCAGUAACAGGUGCCUGGUGCCUAUUCUGCCUGGCAGCAUAGGCCUGGUGAAUGGUCCCCGAUAGAAAAGGAGAGAGAAAAGGAGCCAUUACCUUGAAAAUCCCCCCACUGGGGUUCCUGUAGCAAAGGAUGAUGGGGGCAUCCCUUGAACAUCUUCCCUAUUCUGCCUGGCAGGAAUAGCUGCCUGGUGAAUGGUCCCCGGGAUAAAAGGACAAAGACAGUGAGAAAGACAAAGACAGUGAGGAAUUUUCCGCCAGUCUGGAGGACAUUCUACCCAAUUGCAUCCUGGAGCCAUUCUCCCAAGAAGGGGUUCCCAUACUCCACCAAAGGUUAGAGUUUGGUACUUUCCUUGAACUGGAGUCCCGAGUGGGACUUUCCUCGCAGUUCAGAGCGUGGUCAGGUGCCAGAGGGAGGGAUCCCAAUCCAGCCUUAGGGAAAGAAACCUUCCAUGGGAGUCUUGGAGAUUGGCGGCCGUCCUAAUGACUUAAGUGGCCGACCCGCGCCCACGUAAAAUUUGUCUAUUAGAGAUAGAGUCAGGAAGGAAUGGAUUAAUUCAUUCUCCAUCACCCUGAGGCUUAAGGUACUGAUUCUCUUCAGGCUGAAUGCCACAAUUUGCCCCGUAGAGUACCCAUGGGCAGCAAACGUCUGCUGUCCGAGAAAGUUCCCGAUGGAGAAGUGAAUUUAGAUCCAUCCUUGAAAAAGAGAAAGGCACAAGGAAGAAAAGGGCACUUACCAGAACUCGAGCUCACGAGCCGAUGAAGCAAGUCCCCGUACGGGCCACCAGAAAUGAUGCGGGGUCAGUGAGCCGAGGAGUCAAAAGAAAGAUUUCUUAGACUCUCAAGAUCUUGGAGUAGUGCUCUUUUAUUUAGAGAAUAAUGUGGAAUAGCAUGGGGACAGGACCCAUGGGCAGUCAGAGCUUCUGCUGCCGCUUCUGCUGCCCCUGGCAUGGGACAGGGCCAUGGCUCAAGCUCUGCUGCUGCCCCGCUGGCAUGGGGACAG